rnacentral:rRNA from 1 species
CUUAGAGUUUGAUCAUGGCUCAGAGUGAACGCUGGCGGCGUGCUUAACACAUGCAAGUCGAACGAUGAAGCUCUAGCUUGCUAGAGUGGAUUAGUGGCGCACGGGUGAGUAAUGUAUAGCUAAUGUGCCCCUUAGAGGGGGAUAACAGUUGGAAACGACUGCUAAUACCCCAUACUCCUUCUUCCUAUAAGGGAAGUUGGGAAAGUUUUUCGCUAAGGGAUCGGGCUAUAUGGUAUCAGCUUGUUGGUGAGGUAAUGGCUCACCAAGGCUAUGACGCCUAUCUGGUCUGAGAGGAUGAUCAGACACACUGGAACUGAGACACGGUCCAGACUCCUACGGGAGGCAGCAGUGGGGAAUAUUACACAAUGGAGGAAACUCUGAUGUAGCAACGCCGCGUGGAGGAUGACACAUUUCGGUGCGUAAACUCCUUUUAUAUGGGAAGAUAAUGACGGUACCAUAUGAAUAAGCACCGGCUAACUCCGUGCCAGCAGCCGCGGUAAUACGGAGGGUGCAAGCGUUACUCGGAAUCACUGGGCGUAAAGCGCGCGCAGGCGGUCUUUUAAGUUGGAUGUGAAAUCCUAUGGCUCAACCAUAGAACUGCAUCCAAAACUGAAAGACUAGAGUCUGGGAGGGGAAGAUGGAAUUAGUGGUGUAGGGGUAAAAUCCGUAGAGAUCACUAGGAAUACCAAAAGCGAAGGC